rnacentral:misc_RNA from 1 species
GCAAACUUGGUCAUUUAGAGGAAGUAAAAGUCGUAACAAGGUUUCCGUAGGUGAACCUGCGGAAGGAUCAUUAUCAAAAUAUCCAUAUCAACCCUUUCCAUUGUUUUAAUGACUUUAAAACUUUUGGCGAGACGAAUUAUAGUAGUCUCGCCGGAAAACCCCCGUUUAUUAGUAUUCGGCUUUUUUCCCAUUUAUUUUAGACCCUAGUAGUGGUUAAUCAAGCUGCAUAUUAAAAAUUCGAGGGCAUUUCCGGGGGUUUUUAACCAAUAAAACAUUUUUUUAAAUUUAACAAAUAAAAAAAACUUUUAACAACGGAUCUCUUGGCUCUCCCAUCGAUGAAGAACGCAGC